rnacentral:rRNA from 1 species
AGCGAACGCUGGCGGCAGGCCUAACACAUGCAAGUCGAACGAACCUUUCGGGGUUAGUGGCGGACGGGUGAGUAACACGUGGGAACGUGCCUUUAGGUUCGGAAUAACUCAGGGAAACUUGUGCUAAUACCGAAUGUGCCCUUCGGGGGAAAGAUUUAUCGCCUUUAGAGCGGCCCGCGUCUGAUUAGCUAGUUGGUUGAGGUAAUGGCUCACCAAGGCGACGAUCAGUAGCUGGUCUGAGAGAAUGAUCAGCCACAUUGGGACUGAGACACGGCCCAAACUCCUACGGGAGGCAGCAGUGUGGAAUCUUGCGAAGUGGGCGAAAGCCUGACGCAGCCAUGCCGCGAGAAUGAUGAAGGUCUUAGGAUAGUAAAAUUCUUUCACCGGGGACGAUAAUGACGGUACCCGGAGAAGAAGCCCCGGCUAACUUCGUG